rnacentral:rRNA from 1 species
CCUAGGGAGGCAGCAGUGGGGAAUAUUGGACAAUGGGCGAAAGCCUGAUCCAGCCAUGCCGCGUGUGUGAAGAAGGCCUUCGGGUUGUAAAGCACUUUCAGUGGGGAAGAAAGCCUUGGGGCUAAUACCCUCGAGGAAGGACAUCACCCACAGAAGAAGCACCGGCUAACUCCGUGCCAGCAGCCGCGGUAAUACGGAGGGUGCGAGCGUUAAUCGGAAUUACUGGGCGUAAAGCGCGCGUAGGCGGUCUGAUAAGCCGGUUGUGAAAGCCCCGGGCUCAACCUGGGAACGGCAUCCGGACCUGUCAGGCUAGAGUGCAGGAGAGGAAGGUAGAAUUCCCGGUGUAGCGGUGAAAUGCGUAGAGAUCGGGAGGAAUACCAGUGGCGAAGGCGGCCUUCUGGACUGACACUGACGCUGAGGUGCGAAAGCGUGGGUAGCAAACAGGAUUAGAUACCCCGGUAGUC